AUUGAACGCUGGCGGCAGGCCUAACACAUGCAAGUCGAACGAGUGGCGGACGGGUGAGUAAUGUCUGGGAAACUGCCCGAUGGAGGGGGAUAACUACUGGAAACGGUAGCUAAUACCGCAUACCAUCGGAUUUGCCCAGAUGGGAUUAGCUAGUAGGUGGGGUAACGGCUAACCUAGGCGACGAUCCCUAGCUGGUCUGAGAGGAUGAACAGCCAAACUGGAACUGAAACACGGUCCAGAUUCCUACGGGAGGCAGCAGUGGGGAAUAUUGCAAGAUGGGCGGAAGCCUGAUGCAGCCAUGCCGCGUGUAUGAAGAAGGCCGUCGGGUUGUAAAGUACUUCCAGCGAGGAGGCUUUACUCGCAGAAGAAGCACCGGCUAACUCCGUGCCAGCAGCCGCGGUAAUA
rnacentral:rRNA from 1 species